AAAGCCCGCGCACAGCAACGAAGACCCAAUGCAGCCAAAAAUAAAUAAUUUUUUUUUAAAAAGGGUGUAUGUGCUGGAGUAGGUGGCUACCCUUCAUGUCCUGCAGGGCAAAGGGAGACCAAGCUUUCCAAGACAAGCGGAAGUCAUGAGUCAGCCAUGACUGUAAGGCUGUCAGACUCACUUGGACACAUGGAAAGCUUACGAGGAAGGCUCUGUGCCCCUCAGGAAUGCAGCAACUCCCUUUGCCUUCUCUAGAUGCUCAGGGCCCCAGACUAUCAGCAAGAGGCUCCUGACGCCUGGGCCUUCCAUCAGGGUGAUGGAGGACAGGCUGCUGUGGUGGAUGGUUGUUUCCGGGCUGUGCCCAGUAAGACUAAGCAAGCGUGAGGGUAUCCAGGUGAUUUCUCCAGAGGAUGUGUCAGGCAGCAUAGAUCCCAGGUAGUUCAGGGUACCAUUCUGGGAGAUAUCUACCAUAGACCACAUCUGGAGUUGAACAGCUCAGGAAGUUGGCUUGCUCUAAGUGCAGCAGUUUACUUGGCAAGUGAUAAUGGGUCCCUGGGUCAGAAACGAGGGGCCUCAAAAAGGAUGGAAGUAGAAUAGUAAUCCUGGGUUACUGAUGCAGUAAAUGGCCAUCUGCUUGCCCAAAUAGGAUGAUGACCCUUUUGUUGGCUAGGUCAGCCUCUCUCUGAGGACUUUAAGGAAAGUUUGCUUGCCCUUCAUUCUAAUAGAACAAUGCUUUUCCAUUCUGGCUGCAGAUCGGAAAUCACCUUUGGAGCUUUAAGAAAUUCAGAUGCCCAGGCUCCAGCUCCAAAGAUUUGAUUCUAUGAAUGAAGGCCCCCAGUCUGCCAUGGUCUCUAGAGGAAGAAAUGGGUUAGCCAGGUCACAGAUGCCUCAGGAGUGUUAAAUGAGGACUCUUGUGGAAGAGGCGGCCCUGCACCCCUCUCUCCUCUCUCCAUGGCAACUGCUGUGGAGAGCACGCCAGAACAUCCUUCCGAAACUGCAUCAGAUGAAGCCUGCAUUUUACAGAGUAAGGGACCACCAAACUAGGUUCUAAACGUCCAGAUGUACAGAUGCAGGACCAUGGAUACAGAAGGCCAACUAUGGUGCUUGAGCAUCCAUGGAGUUUUGGUAUCUGAGGCAGGUCCUGGAACCAGUCCCCAAUGGAUAUCAAGAUGAAGAGGUCUGAGACAGGAAGAGGAAGUGCUACAGUGGGAGCUACACUGAAAGGCCUUCUCUGCCCACCCGGCCAUCUUAGUUUCAGGGGGAAGGAGCUAUUUCAGAGUCAAAAGUCCAACUUCGAUCACCCCAUAGAGAUGCACAGCAUCAGGAGAGCAAGGAGCCCACCUUACCUUUCAGCCAGUAUUUGUCACACACGGG